rnacentral:tRNA from 1 species
AUAUAUAAAGUAAAAUUUACAUUUAAUUUCGACUUAAAAAUUAGUUAAUAUAUAACUUAUAUAUA